GACGAACGCUGGCGGCGUGCCUAAUACAUGCAGGUAGAACGCACAGUUUAUACCGUAGCUUGCUACACCAUAGACUGUGAGUUGCGAACGGGUGAGUAACGCGUAGGUAACCUGCCUGGUAGCGGGGGAUAACUAUUGGAAACGAUAGCUAAUACCGCAUAAUAUUGAUUAUUGCAUGAUAAUUGAUUGAAAGAUGCUAUUGCAUCACUACCAGAUGGACCUGCGUUGUAUUAGCUAGUAGGUGAGGUAACGGCUCACCUAGGCGACGAUACAUAGCCGACCUGAGAGGGUGAUCGGCCACACUGGGACUGAGACACGGCCCAGACUCCUACGGGAGGCAGCAGUAGGGAAUCUUCGGCAAUGGACGAAAGUCUGACCGAGCAACGCCGCGUGAGUGAAGAAGGUUUUCGGAUCGUAAAGCUCUGUUGUAAGAGAAGAACGGGUGUGAGAGUGGAAAGUUCACACUGUGACGGUAUCUUACCAGAAAGGGACGGCUAACUACGU
rnacentral:rRNA from 1 species